rnacentral:rRNA from 1 species
UGAGUACGAGAUGCUACGGCAUCGAAGCAGUCUAUGUCAUACUUCCAAGAAAAGCUUGCACUGUCAUAAACAAAUAAUGCCUGUACCAUAACCGACACAGGUGGGUAGGUAGAGUAUACUAAGGGGCGCGAGAUAACUCUCUCUAAGGAACUCGGCAAAAUGACUCCGUAACUUCGGGAGAAGGAGUGCCUUAUUUUUAAGGUUGCAAUAACAAGAUCCAAGCAACUGUUUAUCAAAAACACAGGUCUCCGCUAAGUCGUAAGACGAUGUAUGGGGGCUGACGCCUGCCCAGUGCCAGAAGGUUAAAGAAGUUGGUUAGCAUUAGCGAAGCUGAUAACUGAAGCCCUGGUGAACGGCGGCCGUAACAAUAACGGUCCUAAGGUAGCGAAAUUCCUUGUCGGGUAAGUUCCGACCCGCACGAAAGGCGUAAUGAUUUGGAUACUGUCUCGGAGAGAGGCUCGGUGAAAUAGACUUGUCUGUGAAGAUGCGGACUACCUGCACCUGGACAGAAAGACCCUAUGAAGCUUUACUGUAACUUGAAAUUGAAAUUGGACUUUAUUUGCGCAGUAUAGGUGGGAGGCGUUGAAAAUAUUCUUGCGGGAGUAUUGGAGCCAUCAGUGAGAUACCACUCUUGUAAUGUUAGAUUUCUAACUUUGUAUCAUUAUCUGGUCAAAGAACAGUUUCAGGCGGGCAGUUUGACUGGGGCGGUCGCCUCCCAAACGGUAACGGAGGCGCACAAAGGUUUCCUCUGAACGGGUAGAAAUCGUAUCUAGAGUGUAAAGGCAUAAGGAAGCUUGACUGUGAGACCUACAAGUCGAGCAGGGACGAAAGUCGGUCUUAGUGAUCUGACGGUGCUGAGUGGAAAGGCCGUCACUCAACGGAUAAAAGUUACUCUAAGGAUAACAGGCUGAUCUCCCCCAAGAGUUCACAUCGACGGGGAGGUUUGGCACCUCGAUGUCGGCUCAUCGCAUCCUGGGGCGGUAGUACGUCCCAAGGGUUGGGCUGUUCGCCCAUGAAAGCGGUACGCGAGCUGGGUUCAGAACGUCGUGAGACAGUUCGGUCCAUAUCCGGUGUAGGCGUUAGAAUAUUGAGAGGAGCCUUCUUUAGUACGAGAGGACCGAGAAGGACAUACCUCUGGUGUACCAGUUAUCGUGCCAACGGUAAACGCUGGGUAGCUAUGUAUGGAGAGGAUAACCGCUGAAAGCACCUAAGUGGGAAGCCCACCUCAAGAUAAGUAUUCUCAU